rnacentral:rRNA from 1 species
GAUGAACGCUGGCGGCGUGCCUAAUACAUGCAAGUCGAGCGAACAGACGAGGAGCUUGCUCCUCUGACGUUAGCGGCGGACGGGUGAGUAACACGUGGAUAACCUACCUAUAAGACUGGGAUAACUUCGGGAAACCGGAGCUAAUACCGGAUAAUAUAUUGCACCGCAUGGUUCAAUAGUGAAAGACGGUUUUGCUGUCACUUAUAGAUGGAUCCGCGCCGCAUUAGCUAGUUGGUAAGGUAACGGCUUACCAAGGCAACGAUGCGUAGCCGAACUGAGAGGGUGAUCGGCCACACGGGAACGGAGACCCGGUCCAGACUCCUACGGGAGGCAGCAGUAGGGAAUCUUCCGCAAUGGGCGAAAGCCUGACGGAGCAACGCCGCGUGAGUGAUGAAGGUCUUCGGAUCGUAAAACUCUGUUAUUAGGGAAGAACAAAUGUGUAAGUAAAUAUGCACGUCUUGACGGUACCUAAUCAGAAAGCCACGGCUAACUACGUG